UUGCGNNUGGGCGAAGCCUGACGCAGCAACGCCGCGUGGGGGAUGAAGCUUCUCGGAGUGUAAACCCCUUUCGACCCGGACGAAUGCCCGCAAGGGUUUGACGGUACGGGUAUAAGAAGCCCCGGCUAACUACGUGCCAGCAGCCGCGGUAAAACGUAGGGGGCCAGCGUUGCUCGGAAUUACUGGGCGUAAAGGGUCCGUAGGCGGUGUGGCAAGUCGGAAGUGAAAUCUCUGGGCUUAACUCAGAGGCUGCUUCCGAAACUGCCGUGCUCGAGUGUGAGAGAGGCGAGUGGAAUUACGGGUGUAGCGGUGAAAUGCGUAGAUAUCCGUAGGAACAUCCGAGGCGAAAGCGGCUCGCUGGAUCACAACUGACGCUGAGGGACGAAAGCUAGGGGAGCAAACAGGAUUAGAUACCCUGGUAGUCCUAGCCCUAAACCAUCAGGACUUGGGGUUUGCCCUGUACGGGGCAAGUCCCGUAGCUAACGCGUUAAGUCCUGCGCCUGGGGAGUACGGUCGCAAGGCUGAAACUCAAAAGAAUUGACGGA
rnacentral:rRNA from 1 species